rnacentral:other from 1 species
AGAGCCCUAAGUUGUACGUGAAGUACCGACAGUUUUGAGCCAACACCUUUUUUACGGGAGUUCGGGUUCUUUGGUGGAUAAGAAGCCAUGAUUUAUCUUGGACCUAUGAAAUCAAAGACAGGACACCCACCUGCGAGAGCAGGUUCAAAACCUAGGAAACACGGCAUACCCGGGGCUCUU